rnacentral:lncRNA from 1 species
AAGAAUAUAAUUUUCUUUAAAACAUUCUAUAAUCGGAGACCUUUAGAAAGGUCAAAAAAUUUUGUCUAAACUCGGAUGUAACACAACUAUAUGUUUAAUAUAUAUAGGGCAUAUCUCUUUCUUGUUUUAAUUAUGUGUAGUCCGUUCAAUUCAUAAAUACAUCUAUUCAAACGUUAUUUAUGAAUCAAGCUCAAAACCCUGUGUUGGCCAAACCAAAUUCUUAAUCUAUUAAAGGGAGUUAACUCAAUAUCAUUCAACUCGCAACCACCGAAACUUAUAAUAUCUCAUUUUCCUUUUUGGCANUCGUAGAUCAGCACGUACCAACGCAACCCCACCACCACCUCCACCACUGACAUAUGAUCCGGCCAUGGUCCAGGCUGCUAUCACAGCAGCAGUAACAGUAGCCCUCUCUCAAAUAAACUCCAAUGCAAAUGGAGGUACAGGAAGCAGCACGAAUCAUCCCAAUCGUGGCACCGGCCAGGGUCAUGUAAGGGAAUGUACUUACAAGGAGUUCUCCAACUCAAAGCCAAAGACUUUUAAUGGCAUUGGAGGAGUCAUUGCACUAAUGCAAUGGUUCGAAAAGACCGAAACAGUCUUCGAGAUCUGCUCGUGCCAAGAAACAAGCAAGGUUAAGUUCGCUGCUUGCACCUUCAUAGAUCGAGCCCUCACUUGGUGGAAAAGCCAUGUAAAUUCAGUGAUGCUCACUGUCGCUAACGCCAUGACUUGGGAAGAGCUAAAGGUUCUAUUACUGGAAGAAUACUGCCCAAGGGGCGAAGUGCAAAAGCUUGAGUAGGAGCUUUGGAAUCUGAAAAUGGUUGGGUCUGAUCUAGUCGCCUACACAGCUAGGUUCAACGACCUCGCUGCUUUGUGGCCUACCAUGGUCAUCCCAGAAUCAAAGAAAGUCGAAAGGUACAUUUGGGGGUUGUCACCCCAGAUUCAAGGGCAUGUCCUAGCUUCCAACCCUAUCACCUACAACAGCGCUAAAUGCAUGGCUCAACGACUCAUCGACCACGGAGUAAAACAGGGUACCAUUGCAGCAACCACAAAUCCACCUAAGGAGGCUCAGGGACAGAGUAGGCCUUGGAACAAGAGGAGGGGACAAACCCUCCAGGAGAACCCCAAGAAACAACAAGUAGUAGCGACCCACGCGAUUACUGUGCCUACCAACUCUGCCCCCACAAGCUCAUACAAUGGAAAACUUCCAAAGUGCAACUAAUGUAACUUCCACCACCACGGUCUCUGCCGUGACCUUCAAUGCACCAGGUGCUAUAAGAAGGGACAUACAGCCCGCUAUUGCAAAGAGCCAACCCAACAAUCCGCCCCCACUGCUAAUACCGGAGUAAGCCACGCCUGCUUUGAGUGCGGAGACACGGGACACUACCGCAGGGACUGCCCGAAGGCAAACAACAAGAAUACCGGCGGAAGGGGCCGAGUUUUCGCAAUGGGACAAGAUGAAGCCGUUGCGGACCCUACUGUUGUUACGGGUACGUUUCUUCUCGAUAACUCGUAUGCAUGCAUUUUGUUUGAUAGUGGAGCGGAAAGGAGUUUUGUGAGUCACGACUUUAAAGGCAUGCUAAAACCAAUACCACAAUCAUUAAGUGAACCAUUCAUAGUAGAAAUGGCCAACGGGAAAACUGAAGGCACUAAAGAGAUAUACUUAAACUGCACCCUAACUCUAAACGAUAAUCCCUUUCCAAUCAACCUCAUGCCAGUCUCGAUUAAGAGUUUCGAUGUCAUCAUUGGCAUGGAUUGGCUGAGUUCACAUCGUGUGGACAUUUUAUGUUACGAUAAGGCCGUUCGCCUUAAUCUACCAACCGGUGAAACCUUCCUUGUCUUGGUCGACAAACCUAGUACCACUCUUCGUAUCAUCUCAAGUAUCCAGGCUCAGAAGUACCUACGCAAGGAGUGUCACGCGUUUUUGGCUCAUGUUGUAGAUGUGAAGCGCGAAAUCCCGGACGUCAAGAAUGUGCCCGACAUAUGCGAUUUUCCCGAGGAUCUUCCAGGAAUACCACCCGCAAGACAAGUCGAGUUUAGAAUCGAUUUGAUUCCCGGAGCUGCCCCAGUAGCCAAAGCACCCUAUCGAUUAGCCCCGGCAGAGAUGCAGGAGCUAUCCAGCCAACUGAAUGAACUACUUGGAAAAGGAUUCAUCAGGCCGAGCUUCUCGCCAUGGGGAGCACCCGUGUUGUUCGUGGAAAAGAAGGAUGGUUCAUUCAGGAUGUGCAUCGACUACCGAGAACUCAACAAACUUACCAUCAAGAACCGAUACCCCCUACCCCGAAUCGACGACUUAUUCGAUCAACUCCAAGGAGCCAACUACUUCUCCAAGAUCGAUCUAAGGUCGGGAUAUCACCAGCUGCGAGUCCUAGAGAGUGAUGUUCCCAAGACGGCCUUCCGAAUAAGGUACGGACAUUACGAAUUCGUAGUGAUGCCUUCCGGACUAACCAAUGCCCCGGCCAUAUUCAUGGAUCUAAUGAAUCGGGUAUGUCGUCCAUUCUUGGAUAAAUUUGUGAUAGUAUUCAUAGACGACAUACUCAUUUAUUCAAAGAAUAAAGAAGAACAUAGUCAACACCUGAGACAAGUCUUAGAGACGUUACGGACUGAGAGACUUUAUGCAAAAUUCUCAAAAUGUGAGUUUUGGAUUAGAAAGGUGGACUUCCUCGGUCACGUGGUCAGCAAGGAAGGAAUCCACGUGGACCCCUCGAAAAUCAAGGCUAUCGAAAACUGGUCUGCACCAACUACACCAACAGAAAUUCGCCAAUUUCUAGGUCUUGCUGGUUACUACCGAAGGUUCAUCCAAAAUUUCUCCAGCAUCGCAAAGCCUCUUACCGCUUUAACCCAGAAAGGUGUGACCUACAACUGGGGAGAAAGGCAAGAUGUUGCGUUUCAGAAUUUGAAACAGGCCCUUUGCAGUGCACCCAUCCUUUCUCUUCCAGAGGGGACCGAUGAUUUUGUGGUGUAUUGCGACGCUUCAAAGCAAGGACUGGGCUGUGUGCUAAUGCAGAGGGGAAAGGUUAUUGCAUAUGCCUCAUGACAACUGAAGACACAUGAGGUCAAUUACACCACUCAAGACGUAGAACUUGGAGCGGUGGUCUUCGCCCUUAAAAUCUGGAGGCACUACCUAUACGGUACCAAGUGCACUAUCUUUACAGACCACAAGAGCCUCCAACACAUCUUCGACCAGAAGGAGUUAAACAUGAGACAGCGACGUUGGGUCGAAUUGCUCAACGACUACGAAUGUGAGAUUCGCUAUCAUCCGGGAAAGGCAAACGUCGUGGCCGAUGCCCUUAGUCGAAAGGAGUACUCUGGCCGAAGAGUGAAGUCAUUAGCCAUGUCGAUCCAUUCGCACCUGUCAGCGCAAGUCAAGGAAGCUCAAAUAGAGGCCUUGAAACCCGAAAACGUGACAGGUGAGGCCCUUAGGGGAAUGGACAAGAACUUAGAAAUCAAGAGUGACGGAGCACGCUACCUCAUGAACCGGAUCUGGACACCCAAGUUUGGUGGAUUCAGAGAGGUAGUUAUGAGCGAGGCACACAGGACUCCAUACUCCGUACACCCAGGGUCAGACAAGAUGUAUCUAGAUCUCAAGCAACUCUACUGGUGGCCAAACAUGAAAGCGGAGAUUGCUACCUAUGUGAGCAAGUGUUUAACUUGCGCCAAAAUAAAAAUAGAACACCAGAAACCCUCAGGUCUACUCCAACAACCUGAAAUACCUGAGUGGAAAUGGGAGCAGAUUUCUAUGGACUUUAUAACGAAACUGCCCAAAACUCAGGGUGGCCAAGAUACUAUUUGGGUGAUCGUCGACAGAUUAACCAAGUCCGCUCAUUUCUUACCGAUCAAGGAAACUGAUAGGAUGGAAAAACUAUCAAGAACCUACAUCCGGGAGAUCGUACGACUUCAUGGAGUACCGAUGUCCAUCAUCUCAGAUAGAGACAGCAGAUUCACUUCCAGAUUCUGGCAAUCAUUGCAAAAAUCCAUGGGAACAAGGUUGGACAUGAGUACAGCAUACCACCCACAAACUGACGGACAGAGUGAGAGGACGAUCCAAACCUUGGAAGACAUGUUGCGAGCAUGUGUAAUCGACUUUGGUAAGGCAUGGGAUGUUCACUUACCUUUGGUCGAGUUCUCUUAUAACAAUAGUUAUCAUACUAGUAUCAAGACUGCUCCAUUUGAAGCCCUUUACGGCCGUAAGUGCAGAUCACCUCUGUGCUGGACGGAAGUGGGCGACACGCAAUUGGCAAAAGGUCUAGUCCCUAAUAGCACCCUCACUGGUCCGGAGAUCAUCAGAGAAACGACUGAAAAGAUCGUGCAAAUACGAGAACGACUGAAGUCCUCAAGGGAUAGGCAAAAGAGCUAUGCCGACAAGAGACGUAAACCCUUGGAAUUCCAGAUUGGCGACCGUGUACUACUGAAGGUCUCACCCUGGAAAGGCAUGAUACGCUUUGGGAAGCGUGGAAAGCUAAAUCCUAGGUACAUUGGACCCUUCGAAAUCAUUUCGAGAGUUGGUCCAGUGGCCUACAAACUCCAACUUCCAAUCGAGCUUAACAAAGUACAUCCAGUAUUCCACGUAUCGAACCUGAAAAAGUGUUUGUCCGACGAAACACUUGUAAUUCCACUCGAUGAAAUCGAACUAAAUGAAAAUCUUAACUUUGUGGAAGAACCCGUCGAGAUCAUGGAUAGGGAAGUUAAACGAACUAAACAGAGUCGCAUUCCAAUAGUAAAGGUUCGAUGGAAUGCUAAGAGAGGACCCGAGUUCACAUGGGAACGGGAAGACCAAAUGCAACAGAAGUAUCCGCACCUCUUCCUCAGCCCCUAAGACUUCUCUUUUGUAUUAAAAUUUCGGGACGAAAUUCCCUCUAACGGGGGGAUGAUGUAACAACCCGAUAUUUCAACUCUUUGUAAUGACCUAAAAAGUCAAGUAUUGUAACCACCUUGGAGUUAAUAAAAUUAACUUUGAUAAUAAAAUGCCCAAAAAGUAUCUAUUUAAAUUCCUACUAUGUUUAAUAUCAUUAAACCGGGAUCGUACGUAAAAAGGAUGCCCAAAUCCGGCUUCGUUUAUUGAAGUUAAGAUUUUUCCAAGUUCGGCUUAGCAGCAGACAGCUAAAAACUCGAAUCGGAGAUCGAGCGACUUUUGGCCGGAAUGACCUAAACGAGAAUCGAAGGUCUCGACAAUGGUAUUUCAGCGGUAAAAAGUCUGGCAAAAACCGACGUCAGAUAAAGAAGUUAUGAAUUUUUAAAGAAAUUCCUUAAUCACGUCAAUUUUAUAAAUAAAUAAUAAAAAUAAUUUCAUAAUUUGCCAACGGAGUCUAAACGAAAGUUGUAGAUCUUAGUCUCACCUACGCGUGGAUAUAAAGACCAUCGAAAACGGAGUUCGUAUGAGGAAGAUAUGAAUUUUUGAAGUUUAUUAAAUAAAUUAUAAUUAUAUUUAAAUCAAAAAUGCUAGUAAUAUCCGAAGAGGAGUCAGCGUCCUCAUCCGAGGUACGCGCCGCGUAACCCCGUACGCCCCGCGUACCCGAGGGCCUUGGCAUCGGACCGUCCACGUCGCCCCUCUACGAACCUACCGAUCCGUCCCAUCCGAGCUCCGGGGCAGUCGAGGACUCGCUCAUGCAUGACGCACGGGUACGCCCCGCGUACGCCCGUACGCCCCGCGUACCGAGGCCUCUCAGCCCCUAUAAAUAGAGAUGCGAGGGUUCCGGAAAAUUCACCCCAUUUCUCUCAUUUCUCUCACGAUAUUGCCUCGAUUUCCGUGCCCGCACUACCCCGAAGCCCUGAUCAUUUUGCUCAAGUCCCGAAGGUCGAUUUUUCUCCCGAGAUUCCCGAGAAUCCCGAGAAAAAUCCGUUUCCCGAGACGAAACUCUGCCCGGUUUUCCAUCUCGCUAUCUUCAAACUUUCAAGUGAGUUCAUACCCCCUUCAAACACACUUUAAAUACAUUUUAAAUGCUUUUAUACUCUUUUAGGGGGGGAAUACAAGUAAACAUACGGUUAUUAUCGUGUAUUUCAUAAAAUUUCACUUUACUCGUUUUUAUCAAAUGAAUCACUUGUGAUUUAGUACUACUAUGUGAAAACUCUUGUCAUACUUUGCAUGCACUAGAUUUAUACAAAGUAUUUAGUAAUUCCAAAGUAUCCUUCGUUGCUAAACCGUUUUAUACAUUCUAAAAACUUAUGAUUUAUGCUUUGUCAAACAUUGUGAAAAAGGAUAAACUUUGCACACAAAACUAUUACUUUAAUACAGACUUAGUUGAGAAUCCAUGAGACAUGUACAUCUUCAAAUACUGCCUUUUUAUUAGAAGGUAUCGCUACAAGUCCUGUCUAUAACCAGAGUCUCCCGUUCGGAGAACGUGUCAAAUGUGUAUAGAUCUAUACGGGAAGUCAUGAUCCCGCGCCCUGACUGUUAGCUACAGUCCUUCCUUUGGGGUGACAGUUUGUCAUAACGCUACGACGCCUGAAGAACGUCGCUACAGGCAUAUUAUGUUUAGUAUGGUUAUAAAACUCAUCGGAUACACAACUAUUAUAGUACUUCUGAUUGAUGAACGAGUAGCUAUUAAAACUAUUCUUUAUCUAACAAACUGAAAUCUUCUGAUAGGUUUAUUAUAUAAAUCUAUGUUUAAAAUCUUCUAAAGCAUGUGGAUUGCUUCCAAUUUUUAGUCUUGGACAUUAAACAAACUAUUACUUUAGGAAAAUAUGGGAUUUUCCUGUAUACAAACCAAACAACUAUUAGGAAAAUAAGGGAUUUUCUUGGUUCAACUAGCUACAUUUUUCAACACAAAUACUCUCAUGCAUUUCAUACUUUUAUAAGAAAAUAAGGGAUUUUCUUGGAAAAUAUACACUCAUUUUGGAAUGGCAUUCAAUGUUUCUAAAUCACUUAUGAACUCACCAACUUAAUUGUUGACACUUUUUCUUUGAAAUAACUUGUAUUCUCAGGGAACCGUUAAGCAGGUUUGGAAAUCAACUUUUGGGGAUUAACGCGCUGGCGUUAAUUAUUUCUUUUGAAAGAUGUUUAUGCAUUUAUCUUUUGAGCAUGUAAUGAAUACAAUGAUGUAAACAUUUUUAAAACCUUUAUAUAUGUAUGGUGGUGUGUACUUUCCUUUCUAUGAACUGUUAUGAUACUGAAUAUGACGUCCUCCGCCCCCGAACGUUUCCGCCGUUCUGGUUUGGGGGUGUGACAGAUUGGUAUCAGAGCUUUGUUUAUAGGGAAUUAAGUAUAUCAAAACCAUUUCUUUUUGGUAUACAACUAUAAACUCAACUGGGCAAAAACACUCUGAGAAGAGUCAUACUUUUGAAAUUAAAUUUAAUUAGUUUUUAAAGUAGGCAUGCACUCAUUUCAUACUAAUAACAGUUUCAUAUCGGAUAAUUUUAGAAGUAUUAUAAAUAAGUUGUGCAGUACAGGUACGCCUUGGGACAUGUAAUCGGAACUGGGAAGAAUAUAGCCUGAUCAACUAUAUUUGUCCGAGAGUCGACUAACAUGUGCAAAGGAGUGUCUGCAGUGGACAACAAUUUUAAAACUUACCAAAAAGCACAUCAUUACAUAAUACUAAGGGAGUUUUGUGUUGACAUCAGCCAUUAAACUUAAGGGUAAAUUUCAUAUAUUCUAGCUUAUAGUCAAUUCUUAACCCUAUUCUUGUACAAACUCAAUGGCUGGAUUCCACCACCCCAAUGACCCCUACUACCCCAACCAAGGUAAUGGAGGAUGGGUCGAAGAAAAUCCCGAAGAAGACGAAGAGCCGAUAGAAUUGGAUGAGGGAGAUGACUCUAAUACGGAUUCAGAGCCAGAGGUUAUCAAUCCACCGGACCCACAACCUCCUGUCCAUGAGAGGAACUUCCAAGGGCCCACUCCUGUGUGGGGAAGUCACCUCCACCAUUGGAGCCAACAACAAAGCUUACGCCCUCCCUACGGCAUGUGCCGAGACUUUUAUGAUGUAGGAGGCGGGGGAUCGGCAGAACGAGCACUUCCGGUCGUGGUUGGCAAACUAGCCAACCAAUGCUAUCAAUCCGGAGUUCAAGCCAAACGGAUCCGCGAGAUCAACAUAGAAGUACAGGUUCACACUUCUGACAUCCGUAGGCUGGAUGGGAUUCAGGACCAUGCCCAACUCCAAACUGAGGCAUUUCAGGCACAAAUGAUUGCAGCCCUAGCUGAGUUAAGGGAACAACAAGCCGCUUUUGAUAGGCGUCUGAUGGAAUCGAAGCAAUCAGAUGCGGAGUCAAGCUCCAAGCGCAACCUACGUCGCAAGUAGUGCUUGCUAGGAUUUCAAAUUUUGUUAUAAAUUAGGACUUCGGAUAAGAAUAUAAUUUUCUUUAAAACUUUCUGUAAUCGGAGACCUUUAGAAAGGUCAAAAAGUUUUGUCUAAACUCGGAUGUAACACAACUAUAUGUUUAAUAUAUAUAGGGCAUAUCUCUUUCUUGUUUUAAUUAUGAGUAGUCCGAUCAAUUCAUAAGUACAUCUAUUCAAACGUUAUUUACAAAUCAAGCUCAAAACCCUGUGUUGGCCAAACCAAAUUCUUAAACUAUUAAAGGAAGUUAACUCAAUAUCAUUCAACUCGCAACCACCAAAACUUACAAUCUCUCAUUUUUUUUCUUUUAGCUGCGCAAUGCCUCCUCGUAGACCAGCACGUACCAACGUAACCCAACCACCACCUCCACCACUGAUAUAUGAUCCGGCCAUGGUCCAGGCUGCUAUCACAGCAGCAGUAACAGUAGCCCUCUCUCAAAUAAACUCCAAUGCAAAUGGAGGUACAGGAAGCAGCACGAAUCAUCCCAAUCGUGGCACCGGCCAGGGUCAUGUAAGGGAAUGUACUUACAAGGAGUUCUCCAACUCAAAGCCAAAGACUUUUAAUGGCAUUGGAGGAGUCAUUGCACUAAUGCAAUGGUUCGAAAAGACCGAAACAGUCUUCGAGAUCUGCUCGUGCCAAGAAACAAGCAAGGUUAUGUUCGCUGCUUGCACCUUCAUAUAUCGAGCCCUCACUUUGGUGGAAAAGCCAUGUGAAUUCAGUGACGCUCACUGUCGCUAACACCAUGAGUUGGGAAGAGCUAAAGGUUCUACUACUGGAAGAAUACUGCCCAAGGGGCGAAGUGCAAAAGCUUGAGCAGGAGCUCUGGAAUCUGAAAAUGGUUGGGUCUGAUCUAGUCGCCUACACAGCUAGGUUCAACGACCUCGCUGCUUUGUGCCCUACCAUGGUCAACCCAGAAUCAAAGAAGGUCGAAAGGUACAUUUGGGGGGUUGUCACCCCAGAUUCAAGGGCAUGUCCUAGCUUCCAACCCUAUCACCUACAACAACGCUAAACGCCUGGCUCAACGACUCAUCGACCACAGAGUAAAACAGGGUACCAUUGCAGCAACCGCAAAUCCACCUUAGGAGGCUUAGGGCCAGAGUAGGCCUUGGAACAAGAGGAGGGGACAAACCCUCCAGGAGAACCCCAAGAGACAACAAGUAGUAGCGACCCACGUGAUUAUUGUGCCUACCAACUCUGCCCCCACAAGCUCAUACAAUGGAAAACAUCCAAAGUGCAACCAAUGCAACUUCCACCACCAC